GUGAAUCAUCGAAUCUUUGAACGCACAUUGCGCCCCCUGGUAUUCCGGGGGGCAUGCCUGUUCGAGCGUCAU
rnacentral:rRNA from 1 species